GAUGAGGUGAGCUCUAUUAGUAGUGUCUUAUUUCCAUGACACAAUCAGGGUUAGUGGGAAGAAAUUAAUUCUAACUGUGUGUGUGUGUGUCUGGACGUGUUUAACUAUACUUGUGCGGACCAGAAGUCCCCACAAGAAUAGUAAACAACCAAAAAUGUACCAACUAGGGGACAUUUUGUUAGUCCCCAUAUGGUCAAAUGCUAUUUCUAGGGGUUUUAGGGUUACGGUUAGGUUCAGGAGCUAGAUUAGGUUUUGGGGUAAAGGUUAAAGUUUAUGGGUUCUGGAAAAUAGGACUUUGAGUGGGACUGAAUUGUGUGACCACACAAGUUCAGUUAUACAAGAAUGUGUGUGUAUGUACGUGCACACACUUGUGUCAAUUAAUUUAGUCUUAAACCUGUAAAACAAAGCAGGUUUAACAACAAGAUACACAUUUACACUACUUUUACUGAUAAUGCUCCAGAUUUUACAACAUUAGAUAACCAAAAUGAAUAACCUUUUCAAGUUCAGCAUAAUACAAAACAGUCAAACAAAUAGAAGCUACGCUCAACAUAAUUUCUAUGAGUUUUACAACACAUUACAAUUAUUUAAAACACCAAUGCAUGAAAUACACCAAUAAACAAAACUAAAAAUGAAAAAUUCACAAAAUAAUGCAUUUGAAUGACUUGGCAUUAGGAGAAGCUGCAUCAUGCACCACGUAAGAGCGAUGCAGGAUACUGUAGCGUGGACUCCAACAUAUAGUAGAAGACUAUGUUGAUCCAUGUCAUGAGUCCAUCUAUGUAAUGUUGUAAUGUUUUUGCACCAUGGAAUUUAGGGACCAAAAGUCUCUGAUAUCCCGGUCAAGUUUUUUAAAUGCAUGUACUGUGAGUACGUCUUUUUUUAACUGCCAAAUAAAACAAUUCAGUCUCAAAUGGCACCCUAUUCCAUAUACCGUGCACAAGUAGUGCUCUAUAUAGGUAAUAGUGUGCCAGUAGGGACACACCCUGUCAUUUACACAGUGGAUCUGGCAUCAAUGACAAUAGAGUAGCUGAGCAGCUGGUUGUACUCCUGGCCUCGUCCUCCUGGUACUGUCACUGCUGUCUUUCCUUUCCUCAGCUCUGGAGAGCACAGUUCCUGGGUCAGAGAGGUCAAGGGUGCCAGCGACUCCCGCUUCUUACAGGAGUUCAGUGACCAGAGAAGAUAGUAGACAGGGGUACAAAGCACAUUCAAAU
ensembl:lncRNA